rnacentral:rRNA from 1 species
CGUCAGCUCGUGUCGUGAGAUGUUGGGUUAAGUCCCGCAACGAGCGCAACCCCUAUCCUCAGUUGCCAUCAUUAAGUUGGGCACUCUGUGGAGACUGCCGGUGUCAAACCGGAGGAAGUGGGGAUGACGUCAAGUCCUCAUGGCCCUUAUGACCAGGGCUACACACGUGCUACAAUGGCCGGUACAAAGAGUUGCGAUACCGCGAGGUGGAGCUAAUCUCAUAAAGCCGGUCUCAGUUCGGAUUGGAGUCUGCAACUCGACUCCAUGAAGUUGGAAUCGCUAGUAAUCGCGGAUCAGCACGCCCGCGGUCCGAAUACGUUCCGGCCUU